rnacentral:rRNA from 1 species
UGGGGAAUUUUUCGCAAUGGGGGCAACCCUGACGAAGCAAUGCCGCGUGGAUGAUAAAGUAUCUCGGUACGUAAAAUCCUUUCGACGGGGACGAAACCGCAAGGUUGACGGUACCCGUAGAAGAAGCCCCGGCUAACUCCGUGCCAGCAGCCGCGGUAAUACGAAGGGGGCUAGCGUUGUUCGGAAUUACUGGGCGUAAAGCGCGCGCAGGCGGCUAUCCAAGUCAGUGGUGAAAGCCCGGAGCUCAACUCCGGAACUGCCAUUGAAACUGUUUAGCUUGAGGACGAGAGAGGUGAGUGGAAUUCCCAGUGUAGAGGUGAAAUUCGUAGAUAUUGGGAAGAACACCGGUGGCGAAGGCGGCUCACUGGCUCGUUUCUGACGCUCAGGCGCGAUAGCGUGGGGAUCAAAC